rnacentral:rRNA from 1 species
GGCCUGCUGGGCUUUAACUGACGCUGAGGCACGAAAGCGUGGGUAGCAAACAGGAUUAGAUACCCUGGUAGUCCACGCUGUAAACGAUGAUUACUAGGUGUGGGGGGACUGACCCCUUCCGUGCCGGAGUUAACACAAUAAGUAAUCCACCUGGGGAGUACGGCCGCAAGGUUGAAACUCAAAGGAAUUGACGGGGGCCCGCACAAGCAGUGGAGUAUGUGGUUUAAUUCGAAGCAACGCGAAGAACCUUACCAGGUCUUGACAUCCAACUAACGAGGUAGAGAUACAUUAGGUGCCCUUCGGGGAAAGUUGAGACAGGUGGUGCAUGGUUGUCGUCAGCUCGUGUCGUGAGAUGUUGGGUUAAGUCCCGCAACGAGCGCAACCCUUGCUAUUAGUUGCUACGCAAGAGCACUCUAAUAGGACUGCCGUUGACAAAACGGAGGAAGGUGGGGACGACGUCAAAUCAUCAUGCCCCUUAUGUCCUGGGCGACACACGUACUACAAUGGCCGUCACCAGAGGGAGGCAAAAUAGCGAUAUGGCGCAAACCCCUAAAAACGUCUCAGUUCAGAUCGCAUGCUCACCCGCCUGCACAAGUCGGA